AGUCGAACGAAGUAGUCCACUGAAGCGUCUGUGCUUGCAUAGAUGUGGAUGUGAUAACUAUUUAGUGGCGAACGGGUGAGUAACACGUGGGUAAUCUUCCUAUAAGAUUGGAACAACACAGGGAAACUUGUGCUAAUACCAAAUAACAAAUAGAAAUGAUUUUUUUAUUUUGAAAGGUGCCUUAAAGCAUCACUUAUAGAUGAGCCUGCGGCGUAUUAGUUAGUUGGUGGGGUAAUGGCCUACCAAGACUUCGAUGCGUAGCCGGCCUGAGAGGGUGAACGGCCACACUGGAACUGAGACACGGUCCAGACUCCUACGGGAGGCAGCAGUGGGGAAUAUUGCACAAUGGGCGAAAGCCUGAUGCAGCGACGCCGCGUGAGUGAAGAAGGUCUUCGGAUCGUAAAACUCUGUCCUUGGGGAAGAAAAUGACGGUACCCAAGGAGGAAGCCCCGGCUAACUACGUGCCAGCAGCCGCGGUAAUACGUAGGGGGCGAGCGUUGUCCGGAUUUACUGGGCGUAAAGGGUGAGUAGGCGGUUAAUUAAGUCAGAUGUAAAAGGCGUGGGCUCAACUCACGUAAGCAUCUGAUACUGGUUAACUUGAGUGCAGGAGAGGUAAGUGGAAUUCCUAGUGUAGCGGUGAAAUGCGUAGAUAUUAGGAGGAACACCAGUGGCGAAGGCGACUUACUGGACUGUAACUGACGCUGAGUCACGAAAGCGUGGGUAGCAAACAGGAUUAGAUACCCUGGUAGUCCACGCUGUAAACGAUGAGUGCUAGGUGUUGGCUAGCGAUAGUCAGUGCCGACGUAAACACAAUAAGCACUCCGCCUGGGGAGUACGGUCGCAAGACUGAAACUCAAAGGAAUUGACGGGGACCCGCACAAGCAGCGGAGCAUGUGGUUUAAUUCGAAGCAACGCGAAGAACCUUACCAAGGUUUGACAUCCCCUUGACAGAUGCAGAGAUGUGUCCUCCCCUUCGGGGGCAAGGGAGACAGGUGGUGCAUGGUUGUCGUCAGCUCGUGUCGUGAGAUGUUGGGUUAAGUCCCGCAACGAGCGCAACCCUUAUCCUUAGUUGUCAGCAGGUCAAGCUGGACCCUCUAAGGAGACUGCCGGUGAUAAACCGGAGGAAGGUGGGGAUGACGUCAAAUCAUCAUGCCCCUUAUAUCUUGGGCUACACACGUGCUACAAUGGUCGGUACAAAGGGGAGCGAAGGAGCGAUCUGGAGCGAAUCCCAAUAAACCGAUCCCAGUUCGGAUUGCAGGCUGAAACUCGCCUACAUGAAGU
rnacentral:rRNA from 1 species